AUGUGGGCUGCCCUGUGGAAACUCAAAGUGAUCCCAAAGGUACGAGUGUUUUGGUGGAGGGUACUACGAGGGAUUUUACCGGAUGAGUGCACUCUCAAAUACCGUCAUAUUGCAGUUUUAGACACUUGCAAGGUUUGUUUGGCAAAGGAGGAGGAUCUUAUGCAUGUCCUCAUCCAAUGCUCGCAUGCACGCCGCUUCUGGGAUGAAGCGUGUGCGUGGUUUGGCCUUCGGCUACCUCGCUUACACCCACAUUCAUGGGCCAGAGACAUCCUAUGUGGAGACCAAGUCAAGGAGGAAGAUCGAGGAAAGAUUAUCACCAUCAUGUGGACGAUUUGGCAUUCUCGAAAUCGGAUCAAGCAUGGGGAAGAAGGAAGGGAUCCAAAAGCCGCCAUCAAGGCGACUAGAGAGGCUCUUGCACUGUUGGAACUGCCUAGAUCAGUUCCCAUCUUGCUACCAGGGCAUGGCUGGCGACCACCCGAGCCAGGGAUGGUGAAGAUCACGACGGAUGGUGCACUUAACGUCGCGGAAGGAAGAGGAGGGGCGGGUGGUGUAGCCCGUUCCGCGUCCGCGCUGUUGGGAUCAUGGUGCAAGCCGUUUGACUACAGGAGCGAAUUGCUCAUCCAAAGUUACAUCAGGAAGGUGUGCUCUGCAUAUAAUAUGUUGGUUCAAACUAAACAUGAGCAUGAAGGUUGGCUAUUCCACGAGGUAGAUUCUUCAAACAUAUCUGAUUCAAAAGAUAUCAAACUCUGGAAUGCACCGGUUCCAUCAAACCCUACCGACGCAUGGGAUCCUUAG
rnacentral:rRNA from 1 species